GAUGAACGCUGGCGGCGUGCCUAAUACAUGCAAGUCGAGCGAAUAGACGAGGAGCUUGCUCCUCUGACGUUAGCGGCGGACGGGUGAGUAACACGUGGAUAACCUACCUAUAAGACUGGGAUAACUUCGGGAAACCGGAGCUAAUACCGGAUAAUAUAUUGAACCGCAUGGUUCAAUAGUGAAAGACGGUUUUGCUGUCACUUAUAGAUGGAUCCGCGCCGCAUUAGCUAGUUGGUAAGGUAACGGCUUACCAAGGCAACGAUGCGUAGCCGACCUGAGAGGGUGAUCGGCCACACUGGAACUGAGACACGGUCCAGACUCCUACGGGAGGCAGCAGUAGGGAAUCUUCCGCAAUGGGCGAAAGCCUGACGGAGCAACGCCGCGUGAGUGAUGAAGGUCUUCGGAUCGUAAAACUCUGUUAUUAGGGAAGAACAAAUGUGUAAGUAACUAUGCACGUCUUGACGGUACCUAAUCAGGAAGCCACGGCUAACUACGUG
rnacentral:rRNA from 1 species